GGGUUAGUAGGCUGGUCGUGCCACCGGUACGUACUGGUCUUACUGAUUCCUCCUUCCUGAUGAACUGUAAUGCCAUUAAUUUGGUGUUGCAGGGAAUCUGGACUGUUACUUUGAGAAAAUUAGAGUGUUUAAAGCAGGCUAACGCUUGAAUACAUUAGCAUGGAAUAAUGAAAUAGGACGUUCGAUCCUAUUGUUGGUUUCUAGGAUUGACGUA
rnacentral:misc_RNA from 1 species